rnacentral:rRNA from 1 species
CCUACGGGUGGCUGCAGUGAGGAAUAUUGGUCAAUGGGCGCGAGCCUGAACCAGCCAAGCAGCGUGAAGGAUGAAUGUCCUGCGUAUUGUAAACCUCUUUUAUCAGGGAACAAAGUGGGGCACUUGUGCCCUUUUGUGUGUACUUUACGAAUAAGGAUCGGCUAACUCCGUGCCAGCAGCCGCGGUAAUACGGAGGAUCCGAGCGUUAUCCGGAUUUAUUGGGUUUAAAGGGGGCGUAGAUGGGUCUGUAAGUCAGGUGUGAAAGUCCGGGGCUCAACCCCGGGACUGCAAUUGAUACUGGGAGGCUAGAGUGCAGGAGAGGUAGGCGGAAUUCGUGGUGUAGCGGUGAAAUGCGUAGAUAUCAGGAAGAACACCGAUGGCGAAGGCAGCUUGCUGGACUGUGACUGACGUUGAGGCACGAAAGUGUGGGGAGCAAACAGGAUUAGAUACCCCAGUAGUC